rnacentral:rRNA from 1 species
UACAGAGGUCCCAAGCGUUGUUCGGAUUCAUUGGGCGUAAAGGGUGCGUAGGCGGCGCGGUAAGUCGGGUGUGAAAUCUCGGAGCUUAACUCCGAAACUGCAUUCGAUACUGCCGUGCUUGAGGACUGGAGAGGAGACUGGAAUUUACGGUGUAGCGGUGAAAUGCGUAGAUAUCGUAAGGAAGACCAGUGGCGAAGGCGGGUCUCUGGACAGUCCUGACGCUGAGGCACGAAGGCCAGGGGGGAGCAAACGGG